rnacentral:rRNA from 1 species
UACGUAGGGUGCGAGCGUUAAUCGGAAUUACUGGGCGUAAAGCGUGCGCAGGCGGUUUUGUAAGCCAGAUGUGAAAUCCCCCGGGCUCAACCUGGGAAUGGCAUUUGGGACUGCAAGGCUGGAGUGCGGCAGAGGAGACUGGAAUUCCUGGUGUAGCAGUGAAAUGCGUAGAUAUCAGGAGGAAUACCGAUGGCGAAGGCAGGUCUCUGGGCUGACACUGACGCUCAUGCACGAAAGCGUGGGAGCAAACAGG